rnacentral:rRNA from 1 species
GAUGAACGCUAGCGGCAGGCCUAAUACAUGCAAGUCGGACGGGAUUGAGGAGCUUGCUUCUCAUGAGAGUGGCGCACGGGUGCGUAACACGUAUGUAACCUACCUUAGUCAGGGGGAUAGCCUCUCGAAAGAGAGAUUAACACCGCAUAACAUUAUGAUAUGGCAUCAUAUUAUAAUCAAAUAUUUAUAGGACUAAGAUGGGCAUGCGGAACAUUAGCUAGUUGGUAAGGUAACGGCUUACCAAGGCUACGAUGUUUAGGGGAUCUGAGAGGAUGACCCCCCACACUGGUACUGAGACACGGACCAGACGCCUACGGGAGGCAGCAGUAAGGAAUAUUGGUCAAUGGACGCAAGUCUGAACCAGCCAUGCCGCGUGCAGGAAGACGGCCCUACGGGUUGUAAACUGCUUUUGUACCGGAAUAAACCUUUGUAUGUAUACGAAGCUGAAUGUACGGUAAGAAUAAGGAUCGGCUAACUCCGUGCCAGCAGCCGCCGUAA